rnacentral:lncRNA from 10 species
UUCACUUAAAAGACACAGAACUGCAGAAUGGGUAAGAACUCACCAACCAUCUGCUGCCUUCAGGAGACUCAUUUAACACACAAGGACUCAUGUAAACUUAAAGUAAGCGUAAGGUUAGCCAAGAGAAGGAACAAGGAGACCCCAAAGUCAGGCAAGCAAGUUUUUAUUAACCUGCUGGGCUGCUCCACUGUGGAGGAGGUAGCCCCGCUUACAGGCUGCUGUGGGGUUUUAUAGGGCAAGGUGCUAGGUUGGGGUGGGGGAAACUGAGUAGAGUUGCAGGUGUUUCAACCAUUUCCUGGAAAUGUUUUUGCCUGCUUGGCUAGGCAAGCUUGGCUAGGCAAGGUGGGCAGAUGUCUUAACCACAUCCUGGAACUGUUUACCAGUUCUACUGAAAGUCUUGCAGAAGUGGCUGUAGAAAAAGUGGGGAGGUGUUUGUAGGUGGUCACAAAGGACCGUAUUGCAAAGGUCAUGGAGGAGGAGGAGGGGUAGCUUGGCUCUCUAACAUUCCAGCCUUUAAUAGGUGAUAAAGGAAGAGGAGUGACUUUAUCAUCUGACUGCUUCUAGCUGUAGAGGGGCGGUGUGCAAGGGGAAAGGCUUGGGGGGCUUGGGAUGGUUGUUCUUGAAGCCGCUGGUAUGCUUGAAGCAGCAGUAUACCUCGCACUGUUCCAUGGGUGAAGGUUUUGAUGUGGUCCUGUAAAAACUGGAUAAGGAGACACAUGAAGCAGGGUCCAAAAGCUAACAGAAGAAAGAUGGUUAUAGCUGGGCCAAGGAGGGGUAGUCGCCAGGGAACCCAGGAGCUGAGGGACCAUGAGGACCAGAGGGACCAGGUAGCAGAUGUGUUUUCUUUUAUUUUUUGGGCUCAAUCUUUGAGUUUUUUUACUGCAUCUUGAACUAGGCCUGAUUUAUUGGGAUAAAAGCAGCACUGUUCAUCUAAAAAGAUGCAGAGCCCUCCUUUUUCAGCAGUGAGCAAACCAAGGCCUCUGCGAUUUUGAAGGACAACUGCUGCUAAGGAGUCUAUCUGUGAUUGGAGGGUUGAAACAGUAUUAGUCAAGUUCCUCUUCUGUAGAACUGCCUUGGAUUUCUGGGGAUUCACUUCAGGCCCUAUUCAUCCGGUUUGCUCCCAUGCUUGGAGAUGUCACUUGAGAAGGCUGGAGAAUAGCAAAGGCAAUAGGAAGGCCCAAGAAGAGGAAGAAAGAUUGAGGAAAUGGCCAGUUUGUGCAGCAGUCAGAACAUACGCAUUUACUGAUUAAGCUUGCUGUUAUAUAUGGAUGCAGUUUGUGGCACCUCAAAAUAAUUACAAAAGCAACAUUAAAGAUCACUGAUCACAAAUCACCAUAACAUAUAUAAUAAGAAUGGAAAAGUUUGGUAUAUUGCAAACAUGACCAAACUGUGACACAGAGACACAAAGUGAGUGCACGGUGUUUAAAAAAAUGGUGCAAUAGACUUACUCAACACAGGGUUGCCACAUAUCUUCAAUAUGUAAAAAAUGCAAAGUCUGCAAAGUGCAAUAAAGAAAAGCAUAAUACAAUGAAGUAUGCCUAUAGAUAAUUGCCAAUGACUCAUGUUCAGGAUUACAGAAAAAUGAGUGUUGUUGCUUUGAGAAGGAAAGGGUCCUGGGUCUGGGGUAUCAUAAGAAGUCAUAUCAGAAUGGAUAGAAACCAGAGGCUUGGUAAGAUGCUUCCCUUAAAAUGUCAGAAGGUAAAACUGUCAGAAACACCAUUGCCAGCACUCCUGAGCCUGGCAUGAGACUGAGGACCUUAAAUGUAGUGGCUAUAUAUCUCUCGUGUUCUGCUGUAGCCCUG